AACAGAAGAAAUAGCACAGUGGAAGAAGUUUAAAACAUCUUGAUGCAAAGAAACUGACCAGGUGUGAAAAGGUCAUGUAAGGGCCCCCCAGCAUGAAUACCAUCCUACAAAUAGCUGUGUCAUGUGCUGUGUGGUUUGUAGAGUGAUGAGGAGUAGUGAUGUGCCAUGUGAAAAAUUGGUUGCCCAACAGAUGUCAGUUAUAGACAAAAAGGGACUGUGCCAAAGGGUGUAAAGUACAGGAAGCUGCUGACUUUGCAGGUUCAUCAAAGCAUAAAGUCCAAUAGGUCUUCCAGCAGUGGUGUACAUCACAGUAAGCUGCAAAUCAUCACCAGAGCUGCGAUUGAAAGACGGUGCUCACAGAAAGGGACCAUCACCAUAUGACACACAUGGUGACAGAAAACAAUUGCUAGUGAACACAAAAUGGCCAAUCCAGUCUUUGAAGACCAACAUUAUCGCAUGAACAGGGCUGCAAUAUCUAUCUACGAUGUGAUUGGCUCGAAGUAUAUUCUGAAGCAUUCUUGCAUGUCAACUCACCUGCAAAAUCUCUAGAUUUAAAUCCCAUUGAAAAUCGUAACGUAAAGUGAAAUGCCGGCGACACAUCUGGCCGAAUUGUGGGAUUUGGUGCUGGAAGACUGGAUGAAAAUUGAUGUCACCUACAUCCACAAAAUGGUGGUCUCCAUACCAGACAGAAUUGCAGCUGCCCUUCGGUCUCAAGGAGGAGUUGUGUGCUUUCACAGAAGAUUUAGCCAGGGGUGACUAAUUUUUUUGUUUGGCAAGCUUAAAACCUGUUAUAGAAAAAAUGUCAAUAAUGCAGGCUUUUUUUAAAAUACUGCAGACUUCCUACAAAGUGGUUUCAGUCUUUGGACUGGCCAACUUACUGUACAAGACAGCUUCGUGGUUUAUUCUGUAAUUUUGAAAUCCUGCCAACACUGCCUUUCAUCCUACAACAGUAAGUUGAAAGUCACUCUUAUGUUCAUUUUUGAACAAAUGUUUCCUGGUCAAAACAUUAUGGUGGAGAGUACAAAAAUGUAAUGUCUACUAUCUAUAUAAGUAAUAUCUACUAUCUAUAUACUGUACAGUAGGUUGAUAAAUAUUUUGGAUGUCUUUAUGUGUAAAAUGUGCUUUAUACUUGUUUAAAUGUUUAAAAGCAAGAAAGAUGUGUAACCAGUUGUGCUUUAGCACAUUUAUGACCUUACUGGAUCAGAUAACAUUUUUUUGAUCCAUCUGUGGUGGAGAUGGGUGCGUUAACCAAAGUGGACCUGGGGCAGUUUACAUUCUUUAAGUUUGUAUGCGUUUACACAAGCUUGUCCCCAGAGGGAGAAAGCCUAGACUGGAGGACAGGUUUGAAUCAAGGGAGUUGCACGCAUUGAUCCAGAGGCAUGUCAAGAAUGUUUGAGCAGUAUAAGGACAAGGCCCCCCUGCCCCUCAGUCUCUUACCUCUUUUGUAUUCCCACAAAGCAUCACCAAUGUAGGAGAGCUGUAGUCGGCCACUCCAUGCUGAGGCUGUGCUUAAUCUGGAGAAAAGACUGAACAAAAUAAGACCGCAUCCUGCCUGGUAGCACAUCAUCUGGGUCAUAUUAAUAUUAUUUUAUCAACACUCAAUUCUAUUCCUGAUGUUUUGGGCAUAUUAUAAUUAAAAUAAAGAAAAUAUGUCAUUUUC